CCUACGGGUGGCAGCAGUAGGGAAUCUUCCACAAUGGGCGAAAGCCUGAUGGAGCAACGCCGCGUGUGUGAUGAAGGCUUUCGGGUCGUAAAGCACUGUUGUAUGGGAAGAACAGCGUGAAGAGAAAAUGAUUUUAGUUUGACGUUACCAUACCAAAAAGCAACGGCUAACUACGUGCCAGCAGCCGCGGUAAUACGGAGGUCCCGAGCGUUAUCCGGAAUUAUUGGGCGUAAAGCGCGCGCAGACGGUUUAUUAAGUCUGAUGUGAAAGCCCGGAGCUCAACUCCGGAAUGGCAUUGGAAACUGGUUAACUUGAGUGCAGUAGAGGGAAGUGGAACUCCAUGUGUAGCGGUGGAAUGCGUAGAUAUAUGGAAGAGCACCAGUGGCGAAGGCGGCUUACUGGACUGCAACUGACGUUGAGGCUCGAAAGUGUGGGUAGCAAACAGGAUUAGAUACCCGUGUAGUC
rnacentral:rRNA from 1 species